rnacentral:lncRNA from 1 species
UAUUAGAAGGUUGCAGUAUUAGGAAGGUUGUCAGUCAAAAGUUAUUACAUAGCCAUCAUACACAAGAGAGAUUGAAAAUCUUUCUCUCUUCUUUUCUUCUUUUGUCUUUAGUUGAAAGUAAAUUUCUUGUCCAAAAUUAGGACAGAGAGAAGAUGCACACACACAGUAUUAUGUACACAAACAUUAAAAAGAUAAAAUGCUUAUUAUUUUGCUUUUUAAUGUUUAUAUAUCAAUAUACAAAACCACAUUAGCCUAUAAUCUAUGCCAAGUGUACUACUUAAAUUACAACUGUGUUAACAAGUUCAGGAACUGCAUCUUCUUCUGUUCCAGUGAGAAAGAUGCUUAACUCACCCUCACCCAUGUAUACCCAAUGUGUUAGGAAGUCUUACCUUUGACACGUGCUUGCUAAGUCUAUGUUAGAUGCUUAUUUUAUGCCAGGCCCUGUUCUGGAUUGCAGAUCUUAAAGGAAACAACCCCAGUUUUAGGAGUUCAUAAUUUAUACAGGGGGGACAAUACCUAAAUAAGCCAAAAUUCCAAUAUAGUGAUAAAAGUGUCUGUGGUAAACUAAGUUUGAGAAACACUUUUGUUAAUAUAACAGUAUUUUAAAACUAGUAUAUUUUGUAUCAGAAACGCCAAGCAUUUUAUUUGAAAGAUUCUGUAGACAUCCCAGGUCAUUGUUGUCUUUGAUGAGUUCUGUGGUUAUAUGUAGUGGGUCUGCCCUCCAGUAUUACUUGAAAAUUAUUUAUUACCAGUGCAUGAAAACCAUUGAC